CCCAGACUCCUACGGGAGGCAGCAGUGGGGAAUAUUGCACAAUGGGGGAAACCCUGAUGCAGCGACGCCGCGUGAGUGAAGAAGUAUUUCGGUAUGUAAAGCUCUAUCAGCAGGGAAGAAAAUGACGGUACCUGACCAAGAAGCCCCGGCUAACUACGUGCCAGCAGCCGCGGUAAUACGUAGGGGGCAAGCGUUAUCCGGAUUUACUGGGUGUAAAGGGAGCGUAGACGGUUGUGCAAGUCAGAAGUGAAAGCCCGGGGCUCAACUCCGGGACUGCUUUUGAAACUGUGAAACUGGAGUGCAGGAGAGGUAAGCGGAAUUCCUGGUGUAGGAGUGAAAUCCGUAGAUAUUAGAAGGAACACCGAUAGCGUAGGCAGGUUACUGGGACGGUUCUGACACUAAGGCACGAAAGCGUAGGGAGCAAACGGGAUUAGAUACCCGCGUAAC
rnacentral:rRNA from 1 species